rnacentral:rRNA from 1 species
CAGUAGCGUAUAUUAAAGUUGUUGCAGUUAAAAGCUCGUAGUUGGAUUUCUGGUACGCUGCGCCUGGCCCGCCCACGUUAGUGGUGUGAGUGUCGGUGCGCGGUUGCCAUCCUUCUAGAGAACGUGUCUACCUUUAAUUAGGCCGGGCUACGGGAUCUAGAUCAUUUACUUUGAAAAAUUAGAGUGUUUAAAGCAGGCUUUUGCUAUGAAUACAUUAGCAUGGAAUAAUAAUAUAGGACUUUGGUUUCUAUUUUGUUGGUUUGUCGUUACAAAGUAAUGAUUAAUAGGGACAGUUGGGGGUAGUUCGUAUUUCGUUGUCAGAGGUGAAAUUCUUGGAUUUCCG